rnacentral:rRNA from 1 species
UACGGAAGGCAGCAGGGGGAAUAUUGCACAAUGGGCGCAAGCCUGAUGCAGCCAUGCCGCGUGUAUGAAAAAGGCCUUCGGGUUGUAAAGUACUUUCAGUCGUGAGGAAGGUGUUAAGGUUAAUAACCUUAGCAAUUGACGUUAGCGACAGAAGAAGCACCGGCUAACUCCGUGCCAGCAGCCGCGGUAAUACGGAGGGUGCGAGCGUUAAUCGGAAUUACUGGGCGUAAAGGGCACGCAGGCGGUUAAUUAAGUUGGAUGUGAAAUCCCCGGGCUUAACCUGGGAAUGGCAUUCAAGACUGGUUAGCUAGAGUCUUGUAGAGGGGGGUAGAAUUCCAUGUGUAGCGGUGAAAUGCGUAGAGAUGUGGAGGAAUACCGGUGGCGAAGGCGGCCCCUGGACAAAGACUGACGCUCAUGUGCGAAAGCGUGGGGAGCAAACAGGGAUUAGAUACC